rnacentral:rRNA from 1 species
UACGUAGGCAGCGAGCGUUGUUCGGAGUUACUGGGCGUAAAGCGUGCGUAGGCGGUGUCUUAAGUUUGUUGUGAAAUCUCCCGGCUUAACCGGGAGGGUGCGACGAAUACUGAGAUGCUGGAGUGCCGGAGAGGUAAGCGGAAUUCCUGGUGUAGCGGUGAAAUGCGUAGAUAUCAGGAGGAACACCUGCGGUGUAGACGGCUUACUGGACGGUAACUGACGCUGAGGCACGAAAGCGUGGGUAGCAAACAGG